rnacentral:rRNA from 1 species
UUGGAGGGCAAGUCUGGUGCCAGCAGCCGCGGUAAUUCCAGCUCCAAUAGCGUAUAUUAAAGUUGUUGCAGUUAAAAAGCUCGUAGUUGAAUUUCGGGAUCAAUAUGCCGGUCAUGCCUUGGUAUGCACUGGUAUCUUUGAUUUCUCCCUUCUGACGAACUUUGAUGUCAUUAAUUUGGUGUCAUAGGGAAUCAGGACUGUUACUUUGAAAAAAUUAGAGUGUUUAAAGCAAGCUCACGCUUGAAUACAUUAGCAUGGAAUAAUGAAAUAGGACGUUUGAUUCUAUUUUGUUGGUUUCUAGGAUCGACGUAAUGAUUAAUAGGGAUAGUUGGGGGCAUUAGUAUUCAAUUGUCAGAGGUGAAAUUCUUGGAUUUAUUGAAGACUAACUACUGCGAAAGCAUUUGCCAAGGAUGUUUUCAUUAAUCAAGAACGAACGUUAGGGGAUCGAGGACGAUCAGAUACCGUCGUAGUCUUAACCAUAAACUAUGCCGACUAGGGAUCGGAUGAUGUUAAUUUUUUAAUGACUCAUUCGGCACCUUACGGGAAAC